ensembl:misc_RNA 7SK 7SK RNA
GGAUGUAAGGGCGAUCUGGCUGCGACAUCUGUCACCUCAUUGAUCGCCAAGGUUGAUUCGGCUGAUCUGGCUGGCUAGGCGGGUGUCCCCUUCCUCCCUCACCGCUCCAUGUGCGUCCCUCCAGAAGCUGUGCUUGGUCUAAGAGGAUGGCCUUCCCGGAAUAGAGACAGACCGGUCUUUCGUCAGGAGUAGCUGAGCUCUCCUGCUAGAACCUCCAAACAAGCUCUCAAGAAUGAUAAUUGGGCAUAGAUUACAUUAACAACAAAAUGAACAAUACAGAAAACAGGGUGACAGUUUUUUCUUAU